CAUUGCAUGUUUUUAUGCAUUGAAUUAAAGAUAACAAUAUAUGCAAUCCUUUUUGGGAUUCGUCGGAACUGCUUAAAGCUCUUGAACUUGGAGGAAAGAGGGGAGAAGCAAUAAUCAUAAAAGCUGAUUCAAUGCUCUGGAUAUAAAUCAAGGGAGUGUAUCUAUCUACCUACUCGAAUAAUCACUAGGCUCUCAAAGUGUGUGAAUUUUCUUGAAUGUCUUAUGGUUUCUUGGGGGUCCAUUUCAUGACUUUGGUAAAUAUCUUAAACCUUUCAGCUUGGUGUUGCUUGUCUUUUAAAACCAUUACUUAAAUUGUUUGCAUGUACUUAUCGCUUAUAUUUUUGAACUA